rnacentral:rRNA from 1 species
GACGAACGCUGGCGGCGUGCUACUACAUGCAACUCGAACGCUUUUGUUUUCACCGGAGCUUGCUCCACCGAAAACAAAAGAGUGGCGGACGGGUGAGUAACACGUGGGUAACCUGCCCUCAAGCGGGGGAUAACACUUGGAAACAGGUGCUAAUACCGCAUAACAAUCAGAAUCGCAUGAUUUUGAUUUGAAAGGCGCUUUUGCGUCACUUGAGGAUGGACCCGCGGUGCAUUAGCUAGUUGGUGAGGUAACGGCUCACCAAGGCCACGAUGCAUAGCCGACCUGAGAGGGUGAUCGGCCACACUGGGACUGAGACACGGCCCAGACUCCUACGGGAGGCAGCAGUAGGGAAUCUUCGGCAAUGGACGAAAGUCUGACCGAGCAACGCCGCGUGAGUGAAGAAGGUCUUCGGAUCGUAAAACUCUGUUGUUAGAGAAGAACAAGGGUGAGAGUAGAAUGUUCACCCCUUGACGGUAUCUAACCAGAAAGCCACGGCUAACUACGUGCCAGCAGCCGCGGUAAUACGUAGGUGGCAAGCGUUGUCCGGAUUUAUUGGGCGUAAAGCGAGCGCAGGCGGUCUCUUUAAGUCGAUGUGAAAGC